GACGAACGCUGGCGGCGUGCUUAACACAUGCAAGUCGCACGAGGACGGGAGCUUGCUCCCGAGCCGAGUGGCGGACGGGUGAGUAACACGUGACCAACUUGUCCUAGGGUGAGGGACAACCUGGGGAAACCCGGGCUAAUACCGCAUGAUGUCUCGAGGUCGCAUGGCCAUGAGAUCAAAGAGGGCCUCUGCUUGCAAGCUCUCGCCCUGGGAGGGGGUCGCGGCGUAUCAGCUAGUUGGUAGGGUAACGGCCUACCAAGGCUACGACGCGUAGCGGGUCUGAGAGGACGACCCGCCUCAUUGGGACUGAGAUACGGCCCAGACUCCUACGGGAGGCAGCAGUGGGGAAUAUUGCGCAAUGGACGAAAGUCUGACGCAGCGACGCCGCGUGUGGGAGGAAGCUCUUCGGGGUGUAAACCACUGUCAGGAGGGAAGAAACUCGCCGGCCCGAACAGGAACGGCGAUUGACGGUACCUCCAAAGGAAGCGCCGGCUAACUCCGUGCC
rnacentral:rRNA from 1 species